rnacentral:tRNA from 1 species
GGGGAUAUAGCUCAAUGGUACAGUGUUUGCCUAGUAUAUGCAAGAACCUGGGUUCAAUCCCAGUACCACAA